CCUACGGGUGGCAGCAGUGAGGAAUAUUGGUCAAUGGACGAGAGUCUGAACCAGCCAAGUAGCGUGAAGGAUGACUGCCCUAUGGGUUGUAAACUUCUUUUAUAUGGGAGUAAAAUGUUCCACGUGUGGGAUUUUGUAUGUACCAUAUGAAUAAGGCUCGGCUAACUCCGUGCCAGCAGCCGCGGUAAUACCGAGGAGGCGAGAGUUAUCCGGAUUUGUUGGGUUUAAAGGGGGCGUAGGUGGAUUGUUAAGUCAGUUGUGAAAGUUUGCGGCUCAAACGUAAAAUGGCAGUUGAAACUGGCAGUCGUGAGUACAGGAGAGGUAGGCGGAAUUCGUGGUGUAGCGGUGAAAUGCUUAGAUAUCACGAAGAACUCCGAUUGCGAAGGCAGCUCACUGGACUGCAACUGACACUGAGGCUCGAAAGUGUGGGUAUCAAACAGGAUUAGAUACCCCUGUAGUC
rnacentral:rRNA from 1 species